ACUGCUUUUCUGAGAGGCCAGGUGGCAGGAUGUGGGACGACUCCAGCUGACAAAGACAGUCUAACCGUGGGGUAGGGGCUGGAGCAGGGGCCAGCGACCCACGUCUACAUGCAUACUUCUCUUACACUGCUGCUACUGGAAAAGCUGAACCCCGCGCCAGGACCCCAGCCCCCUGCAAGGACCCGUGAGCGUCUGGGAAGCUGUCUCUGGGACUGAAGCCCCCCACCUCCGCCGGGCUGGCGGCCACUGCGGUACCCUACGCCCCGUCGGGCUGGUCCUGCACAAUUUGGGAAAAAGCCGCAGCGCUUCUGCAAGGUCUACGUGGCCAUGAGCAUGCAACGCUUGGCUCCAAAAAAGACACGAAAGGAGCAAAGCGCCAACGACCACCCGAUCGGAGGGCCCGAGGGGCGCCUCUUCACCAGUCAGCUGCAGCUUAAGUUCCGUGCAUUAUCUGAAAGGAACAGCUGGCUGGAGGUAUCCAGGGCUGUCACUCCAACCUCUGCAGCAGUGACCUCAACUCCCAGCACUUCAAAACCCAGACAGAAACGUCCAACAAACUCCCAGUCCAGGAGCGCUGCAAAACCAACGCCAGUUGUUUUUCUGCAGAAAAUCAUCAACUGUGGAGAAGAAGAAGGGAAAUAAGAAAGAAAGAAAACCCUAAAAACCACCCUGGCGCCCGGGCCCGCAGGCCUCGGGCCGGCUCUGAAAAGUUUGGGCUGUGCACGUGAUGAGCGCGUAGGCGGGAGCCCCAGACAGGACCCGGGCGGGCAUUUCGAGAAAAAGCAGCGGUGACAGCCUUUGGUCCCCAUCUCCAUUGUUCCUGCCAGCUCUGGACCCCAGGCUGCAUGAGACAGUUGGCCUGUUUCCUCUCAUCUCUGGCUCCAUGACUUCAAUCCUCCUGCAGCUUCCACUGCCCCUAUCUGGCUCAUGUCUUGCUGUCUGGUGUCAUGAACUGGGAGUGCAGUAAAGAGGAGUGACAAGCCUGAGGGGCCACGUUCAUACCUGCCACUGCCAACUGUCCUGAUGUAACUGCUUUGUCAUCUUGCCUGCCAGGAUUUGUGACAAGGGACCUCAGAUCCUUUACAUGUGUUAUCUGGACUGAAUGGAGAAACCCAAGACCCACCAUGGUGGAGGGACAACUGAAGUCCUUAGUGACCCAGUGAGUCAUAGUACCAGGAUCAAAGACCCUCCACUGGGAAGGAGGCAGUUGGUGUAAUGACAAGUACAGUUCCUUCUGUUGCACUUUGCCUGAAAGCGUGCGAUGCUGACAUCUCAAACUUGUCAGAAAAUCCACUAUCCCUGUGAAUUCUGUUUUAUUUCCUGUCAACACUUGGCUGAAACACUUGGGAAAGUAAUUUUAUUUUACAUCAUAAAUAUAAAUAUUCAAUUCUUAGUUUCAUUUAUGUUUCUGUGAAGGCUGCUAUUAAUGACCAAAUAGGAUGUUAGAAAGCCCAGAAAUGGGUGUUAUUAGGAACGAGCUAGAAAGCAGUGUUGGUUUUAGCAGUAAGCCCGGUGUUUCUGAGAUAAAUUAGUUCCUGUUACUUGGAAUAGUGCAAGCCAUUGUGAAAAUUUGCCUUGACAUUCCCCUUUCUCAUUUGUCCCUCAAUCCCUUCAGUCUAGUUUGGGGUCUCUAUAAUCCUGCUCCUUUGGCUGCCAGCCAUCUCCAUAAAAAAAGAAUUUGAAAGGCUUCCAUUCUUUCAGAGACCUGUUUCCCGGGACUGGCUGCAAGGGAGAGAUGCACUGACCUUCUGCCAGGUAUAGAACUAUUGAAUGGUACAGUUUGAGAUCUUCGAAACCAUCAGGACUGAUCAUUUUCUGGCUACUUUCUACAUAGGAAUCCUAGAGUUCCUUGGAGAGGAUAUGAAGGUUAUUCUCAGGCCAUGCAGAUGGGCAAGAAAGGAUGUGCGUCCAUGGUUCCUCUUCAAAUCCAACCAAAACAGCCUUGCUUCCGUUGGCUUUAUAUAAUACUGCAACUCUUGAUAAUCUGAUUUAACACAAAUUUCCUCAUUGAGUUUCUCCUCAUGAAGAAACGGCCUCAGUGAGGUAAAUCGGAAUGCACAGGAGCACAUAGCAGGUUAGUGCAGACCAGAAAUCAAACCCAGGCUUUCUGACUGCUCAAUAGACCACAAUCUACCAUGCUACCAUGGAAACUUUAAAACAGAUGAAAGUAAAAACAAACAAACAACAACUUAAAAAAACAAAAACAAAAACAAAAGCAAAACCCAGAGCCUCUCUAGGAAAUACCAACGUGCUUUUGCCAAGUGGGGUUUCUCUCACUUCAUAAGAGCAGUAAACACUAAACCAAGGGAAUGUGAAUUUAGAGGUUAGAAAAGAUAACCAGAGAUUUGGCCGUGCGUGGGGCUCAUGCCUGUAAUCCCAGCACUUUGGGAGGCUGAGGCUGGUGGGUUGCCUGAGGUCAGGAGUUUGAGACCAGCCUGGCCAACAUAGUGAAACCCUGUCUCUACUAAAAAUACAAAAAUUAGCUGGGUGUGGUGGCGUGCACCUGUAAUCCCAGCUACUAGGGAGGCUGAGGCAGGAGAAUCGCUUGAACUGGAGAGGUGGAGGUUGCAGUGAGCCGAGAUGGUGCCAUUGCACUCCAGCCCGGGCAAGAAGAUUGAAAUUCCAUCUCAAAAAAAAAAAAAAAAGAAGAAGAAGAAGAAAAGAUGCCAGAGAUUUGGCGGGGUGCCGGGCUCAUGCCUGUAAUCCCAGCACUUUGGGAGGCCAAAUGGACAGAUCACUUAAAGUUAGGAGUUCCAGAAAAGAUGCCAGAGGUUGGGCCUUUACAUUGUUUUGUAAAUUCGUCAAACCUUAAUCUUAUUUAACUUCCCCACCUAUACAAAAAUUAAUGCAGUAAUUGCUUUUUAAGGAAGCAUUCCAAAGGCCAAAUAAUUCAUAUAUGUCAAGUACCCUGGGAUUCAGGAAAGAAAAAUUCUCUAUAGCUCUAAAGCAAGGAUUAUAAUUUGAGGUUUCCUGACAGUUUUUUUUAAGAAAAGAAAUACCAACCUUUCUUUUCUGGGCCAAAUGCCAAGGUAGGUAAUAACCCCUUGCCCAUUUUCUUUCCCCAAGCUGUUUUAACUAGAUAAGAGCUCUGCCUUCAUUUCCUUUUGUGAACUGACUUGGGAUGUUGCCACAUGCCCUUCAACUACUGUCAAUGCUCUAGUUUGCUGAGUGCUUUCCCCUUCAGAAUGGAAAAGGUUUUGGCAUAAAUAUCUAGCUUUCUUCAAGGUACAAAAUGCUUUCCAAGGAGCAGAGGACAGAGGGAACAAACUUUCAUGUUUCCCAAUUGUAUUAGUCUGUUCUCAUGCUGCUAAUAAAGACAUACCCAAGACUGUGUAAUUUAUAAAGGAAAAAGGUUUUACUGACUCACAGUUCCACAUGGCUGGGGAGGCCUCACAAUCAUGGUGGAAGAUGAAGGAAGAGCAAAGGGAUGUCUUCCAUGGCCAGCAAAAAGAGAAUGAAAGCCAAGGGAAGGAGAAAACACCUUAUAAAAUCAUCAGAUCUCAUGAGACUUAUUCACUACCAUGACAACGGUAUGGGUGAACUGCCCCCAUGAUUCAGUUAUCUCCCACCGGGUCCCUCCCACAAAAUGUGGGAAUUAUGGGAGCUACAAUUCAAGAUGAGAUUUGGGUGGGGACAGAGCCAAACCAUAGCACCAAUACUAGAUCCCUCAGCUUCAAGGUGGCUCCAGUGAUCCUAAGAGGAUCAAGGAAGCCCUACCUCCCUGCUUGUCCUGGAUGUCUCUGACACAUGUUAAGGGAAAAGCAUUAAUAAAGUGCUCAAGAAACAAUUGUUCAAUAGGUCAGUCUUAUAGUCAAUACCUCAUCCCAUGCUCUGUCCCCUACUCUUUGAAAAACUGCCCAAAGAAACAAUGGAUCCACGGAGUCACAAAAACAGGGCAUCCAGUGACCCUCCCCAUCUUACCAGCAAUGUGACUUUCCCACAGUAUAACGACAGCAGUGCCCAGAGCCCAAUACAAGCAGGGCUCUACACUGAGACAGAGCUGAGUUCUAGUAGCAACUACCCUCCUUAUAGCAGUGUUAUUUUAGGCAAGUUUCUCAGCUUCUGGAAGGUUCUUUUCUCAGGCUUACAUACUUUUUACCCGAAAAGAUCUUGGAGUCGUCCAUAUCAGCACAAGCAAUCUACAUUAUUAGUUUUUUUAAUGGCUGCACAGCAUUCCAUGAUAUGGCUGUACCAUUACUUAACUAUCGAUGAACAUUUAGGCAGUUUCCAGUCUCUUUCUGCAGGAGCCAAUGCUGCAAUGUGGUGGGUCAUAACUUUUUCUUUUUUUCAAAUGUGGUCUCACUAUUUCUUCCAGGCUGGAGUGUAGUGGUAUGAUCACAGCUCACUGCAGCCUCGAACUCCUGGACUCAAACAAUCCUCCUGUCUCAGCCUCCAGAGCAACUGGGAGUACAGGUGUGUGCCACCAUGCCUGACUAAGUUUUUAAAUUUUUUGUAGAGAUGGGGUCUUGCUAUAUUGACCAGGCUGGUCUUGAACUUCUGGCCUCAAGAAAUCCUCCCACCUGGGCCUCCCAGAGUGCUGGGAUUACAGGAAUGCACCACUGUGCCCAGCCCUAAAUAACUAUUUUUAUUUCCCUUUCUGUAACCGCUCAUCUUUUGUGCAUUUUUCCUUGGGUAUUGGCCUUCUUAUCAAAGUUUAAGAACUGUUUAUAUAUAGGGAUUAACCCUUAGUCUGUUGUAUGAAUUGCAAAUAUACAUGUAUUUUUAUUUGUAUAUGCAAAGUUUGUCUUUUAUCUUUGUAUAUGGGAUAGUUUUCCAAACACAGUUUUAUUUUAUUUUAUUUUUCAUCUUGCAUGUCUUUCCAAAGUACCAAGCAGAGUUUUUUUAAAAGUUGUUUUAUGGCUUCUGGGUUUUUUAAGUCAUAUUUAGAAAGAUCUUUCCCACUCUGAAAUUAAAAAAAUAAAUAAAUAAAAUCUCCCAAUUAAAAAAAAUUUGUGACUUUGUUUUUCAUAUUUAAAUAUUUAUUCCAUCUGGAAUUUAUUUUAUUUUAAGCUGUAAAGUAGAGACCUCAUUUUAUUGUAUUUCUCCAUAUGGCCACCCAGUUGUUACAAUACCAUUUACUAAAUAAUACAUCAAUUG
rnacentral:lncRNA from 1 species